rnacentral:rRNA from 1 species
UUAUGGCUCAGGAUGAACGCUGGCGGCGUGCCUAAUACAUGCAAGUCGAACGAGCGAGAUCCAGCUUGCUGGAUUUAGCGAGUGGCGAACGGGUGAGUAAUACGUAAGCAACCUGCCUACACGGACUGGGAUAACACCUGGAAACGGGCGCUAAUACCGGAUAGGUAACGAGAGGGCAUCCUCUUGUUAUUAAAGGUUUGAAACACAAGUAGAUGGGCUUACGGUGCAUUAGCUAGCUGGUGAGGUAACGGCCCACCAAGGCGAUGAUGCAUAGCCGGCCUGAGAGGGUGAACGGCCACAUUGGGACUGAGACACGGCCCAGACUCCUACGGGAGGCAGCAGUAGGGAAUUUUCGGCAAUGGGCGCAAGCCUGACCGAGCAACGCCGCGUGAGUGAUGAAGGUUUUCGGAUCGUAAAGCUCUGUUGUAAGGGAAGAAUGGCGCGGAUAGACUCCGCGAUUGACGGUACCUUACCAGAAAGCCACGGCUAACUACGUGCCAGCAGCUGC